AUUGAACGCUGGCGGCAGGCUUAACACAUGCAAUUCGAGCGAGCGGCGGACGGGUGAGUAAUGUCUGGGCAACUGCCUGAUGGAGGGGGAUAACUACCGGAAACGGUAGCUAUUACCGCAUACCAUCAGAUGUGCCCAUAUGGGAUUAGCUUGUAGGUGGGUUAAUGGCUCACCUAGGCGACGAGCCCUAGCUGGUAUGAGAGGAUGACCAGACACACUGGGACUGAGACACGGUCCAGAGUCCUACGGGAGGCAGCAGUGGGGAAUAUUGCACAAUGGGCGGAAGCCUGAUGCAGCCAUGCCGCGUGUGUGAAGAAGGCCAUCGGGUUGUAAAGCACUUUCAGCGAGGAGGCGUUAACCGCAGAAGAAGCACCGGCUAACUCCGUGCCAGCAGCCGCGGUAAUUC
rnacentral:rRNA from 1 species